rnacentral:rRNA from 1 species
GAUGAACGCUGGCGGCGUGCCUAAUACAUGCAAGUCGAGCGAACGGACGAGAAGCUUGCUUCUCUGAUGUUAGCGGCGGACGGGUGAGUAACACGUGGAUAACCUACCUAUAAGACUGGGAUAACUUCGGGAAACCGGAGCUAAUACCGGAUAAUAUUUUGAACCGCAUGGUUCAAAAGUGAAAGACGGUCUUGCUGUCACUUAUAGAUGGAUCCGCGCUGCAUUAGCUAGUUGGUAAGGUAACGGCUUACCAAGGCAACGAUGCAUAGCCGACCUGAGAGGGUGAUCGGCCACACUGGAACUGAGACACGGUCCAGACUCCUACGGGAGGCAGCAGUAGGGAAUCUUCCGCAAUGGGCGAAAGCCUGACGGAGCAACGCCGCGUGAGUGAUGAAGGUCUUCGGAUCGUAAAACUCUGUUAUUAGGGAAGAACAUAUGUGUAAGUAACUGUGCACAUCUUGACGGUACCUAAUCAGAAAGCCACGGCUAACUACGUGCCAGCAGCCGCGGUAAUACGUAGGUGGCAAGCGUUAUCCGGAAUUAUUGGGCGUAAAGCGCGCGUAGGCGGUUUUUUAAGUCUGAUGUGAAAGCCCACGGCUCAACCGUGGAGGGUCAUUGGAAACUGGAAAACUUGAGUGCAGAAGAGGAAAGUGGAAUUCCAUGUGUAGCGGUGAAAUGCGCAGAGAUAUGGAGGAACACCAGUGGCGAAGGCGACUUUCUGGUCUGUAACUGACGCUGAUGUGCGAAAGCGUGGGGAUCAAACAGAAUUAGAUACCCUGGUAGUCCACGCCGUAAACGAUGAGUGCUAAGUGUUAGGGGGUUUCCGCCCCUUAGUGCUGCAGCUAACGCAUUAAGCACUCCGCCUGGGGAGUACGACCGCAAGGUUGAAACUCAAAGGAAUUGACGGGGACCCGCACAAGCGGUGGAGCAUGUGGUUUAAUUCGAAGCAACGCGAAGAACCUUACCAAAUCUUGACAUCCUUUGACAACUCUAGAGAUAGAGCCUUCCCCUUCGGGGGACAAAGUGACAGGUGGUGCAUGGUUGUCGUCAGCUCGUGUCGUGAGAUGUUGGGUUAAGUCCCGCAACGAGCGCAACCCUUAAGCUUAGUUGCCAUCAUUAAGUUGGGCACUCUAAGUUGACUGCCGGUGACAAACCGGAGGAAGGUGGGGAUGACGUCAAAUCAUCAUGCCCCUUAUGAUUUGGGCUACACACGUGCUACAAUGGACAAUACAAAGGGCAGCGAAACCGCGAGGUCAAGCAAAUCCCAUAAAGUUGUUCUCAGUUCGGAUUGUAGUCUGCAACUCGACUACAUGAAGCUGGAAUCGCUAGUAAUCGUAGAUCAGCAUGCUACGGUGAAUACGUUCCCGGGUCU